AUUAAAUUGGUGUGGGAGAGGACAAAAGACUGGCAUCAAGUCAAGACCAGUCAAGGAAAUUUUUACGUUGUCAGUUCUUAGAAAUGGAGUCCUGCCAAACAUGACCGAAGCGGAAGUGGAGAAAGCCAUACAAAAUUGGCUCAGGUUGAGUCAAGACAGAGUCGGAGGGCGGCAGAGGUGGAUGGAAAACGCAGAACUGUGAGCCAGACUGCCAGGGCACCACGGAGGGAUAGCCUACACAGCAGCAGCAGACACAGCAGAAUUACGUUUGCUACGUUUGCUUCUUAUUUUUAGCUAGCAUGGUAUAGGCCUAUUGUUGUUAUUAUUUAUAUAAUUAUUCUUGUUAGGCUAUGUUAUUAUAAUAUUUAUAUUGUUAUGAUAGGCUAGGCUAUAUGAAAAAAACUAAGAGGCAUUGUAUAUAUAGGGAGAAUUGAGGUGCAGCCCAUCACUCUUGUUAAUUUUGUUUGUAUGUUGUUCCGUUGUUCUUUAUGAUGGAGUUCUUUUAAGAGCUUGAUGGCAUAUCAAAA